CCUGGCGGCACUAGCGCGGUGGUCCCACCUGACCCCAUGCCGAACUCAGAAGUGAAACGCCGUAGCGCCGAUGGUAGUGUGGGGUCUCCCCAUGUGAGAGUAGGUAACUGCCAGGC
rnacentral:rRNA from 1 species